CAGAGGGGGAUAACGUUUGGAAACGAACGCUAACACCGCAUGAUAUUAUUGGGCAGCAUUGCCUGAUAAUCAAAGGAGCAAUCCGCUGAAAGAUGGGCUCGCGUCCGAUUAGGUAGUUGGCGGGGUAACGGCCCACCAAGCCGACGAUCGGUAGCCGGACUGAGAGGUUGAACGGCCACAUUGGGACUGAGACACGGCCCAGACUCCUACGGGAGGCAGCAGUGAGGGAUAUUGGUCAAUGGGGGAAACUCUGAACCAGCAACGCCGCGUGAGGGAAGACGGUUUUCGGAUUGUAAACCUCUGUCCUCUGUGAAGAUGAUGACGGUAGCAGAGGAGGAAGCUCCGGCUAACUACGUGCCAGCAGCCGCGGCAAUACGUAGGGAGCAAGCGUUGUCCGGAUUUACUGGGUGUAAAGGGUGCGUAGGCGGCUUUGCAAGUCAGAAGUGAAAUCUAUGGGCUUAACCCAUAAACUGCUUUUGAAACUGCAGGGCUUGAGUGAAGUAGAGGUAGGCGGAAUUCCCGGUGUAGCGGUGAAAUGCGUAGAGAUCGGGAGGAACACCAGUGGCGAAGGCGGCCUACUGGGCUUUAACUGACGCUGAGGCACGAAAGCGUGGGUAGCAAACAGGAUUAGAUACCCUGGUAGUCCACGCUGUAAACGAUGAUUACUAGGUGUGGGUGGACUGACCCCAUCCGUGCCGGAGU
rnacentral:rRNA from 1 species